rnacentral:rRNA from 1 species
AGCUCGUACGCGGUUUGUCGCGGCUGCCGUGAAAGUCCGGGGGUCAACUCCGGAUCUGCGGUGGGUACGGGCAGACUAGAGUGAUGUAGGGGAGACUGAAAUUCCUGGUGUAGCGGUGAAAUGCGCAGAUAUCAGGAGGAACACCGAUGGCGAAGGCAGGUCUCUGGGCAUUAACUGACGCUGAGGAGCGAAAGCAUGGGGAGCGAACAGGAUUAGAUACCCUGGUAGUCCAUGCCGUAAACGUUGGGCACUAGGUGUGGGGGACAUUCCACGUUUUCCGCGCCGUAGCUAACGCAUUAAGUGCCCCGCCUGGGGAGUACGGCCGCAAGGCUAAAACUCAAAGGAAUUGACGGGGGCCCGCACAAGCGGCGGAGCAUGCGGAUUAAUUCGAUGCAACGCGAAGAACCUUACCAAGGCUUGACAUGAACCGGAAACGCCUGGAGACAGGUGCCCCGCUUGCGGUCGGUUUACAGGUGGUGCAUGGUUGUCGUCAGCUCGUGUCGUGAGAUGUUGGGUUAAGUCCCGCAACGAGCGCAACCCUCGUUCUAUGUUGCCAGCACGUGAUGGUGGGGACUCAUAGGAGACUGCCGGGGUCAACUCGGAGGAAGGUGGGGACGACGUCAAAUCAUCAUGCCCCUUAUGUCUUGGGCUUCACGCAUGCUACAAUGGCCGGUACAAAGGGUUGCGAUACUGUGAGGUGGAGCUAAUCCCAAAAAGCCGGUCUCAGUUCGGAUUGGGGUCUGCAACUCGACCCCAUGAAGUCGGAGUCGCUAGUAAUCGCAGAUCAGCAACGCUGCGGUGAAUACGUUCCCGGGCCUUGUACACACCGCCCGUCAAGUCACGAAAGUUGGUAACACCCGAAGCCGG